CAUACAAAUAGGAAAACCUGGCAGCGGAAGGUUUUUCUCUUCAAUAUAUUUUGAGAAUUUCUACGUUUUAAAACUAAAAUUAAUUGUGUUAUUAAUCAACCGAAUACCGUUGGAACAGUGUGUGUUCAUAUCAAUAUUAAUCGUGUUUGUAUAAACAUUUUUACUAAAAAUAGACAGUUCCUCGAUAUAAUAUACUUGUAGGGAAAUCUAGCAACCGCUUUCCAUUCAUAAAACACAUUCAUUUCGUGUUGAGCUGUGAAGGAAUCCAGAUCGAGCAAAAUAUAAUUAAUAGUGUAAUCAUUUCGGAUUUUGAAUUUGUGAGCGACCAAUCGAUAAGCGGAUCGCCUGCUUCGGUUUCUUUUGUGGCGUGAAGCAGGACAUCAAAAAUGGCGACGGAGGGCGGACUGGCGCCGGCCGGCGACGGCGACCUGCCCGUGGGCGGGCCCAAGACGCCCCAGCAGAUCGCUGCCCAGCGUCGCCUCCAACAGACGCAGGCACAAGUUGACGAGGUGGUGGACAUCAUGAAAACAAAUGUUGAAAAAGUAUUGGAACGAGAUCAGAAACUCUCAGAAUUAGAUGACAGAGCAGAUGCGCUGCAACAGGGCGCUUCACAGUUCGAACAGCAGGCUGGGAAACUGAAAAGCAAAUUUUGGUUGCAAAAUUUAAAGAUGAUGAUCAUUGCGGCCGUAAUUGGAAUCAUCAUUUUGGCUCUAAUCAUUGCCAACUUUGUGUGAACAAGUUUUCGGUAACCGAAGUUUAAUUUAGAAGUUAAUUGUUAUAAUGUUAAUAAAUAGUAAUAUAACGUACGUUGUUACUCUCUUAUUACAUUAUUGGUACUAAGCCUGUGUUGGUCUGUAAACUUAUAUUUGGAGUGACAUGCCGAGGUUUCAUAAUUUGGAAAGAAUGCCUACUACGUAAAAAGAAAAACAGCCCGUUAUAAUGAACUCUAUAUCAACUAUCAGUAGUCAUUAGUGUUGUUAAAAUAUCCUCAGAAAAAUAUCAAAUAAAUAAAUUACCGUAUUUUAUGUCAGGUGUCUGAAACUCACUGCGUAUCCAAUCUUGUGUACAACACAUUUUUUUUAUAGAAACUAUGAUGAAAAUAUAUUGUAUUUUUAGAUAAUACAUCUUUGUUAAUUACUGUAAGUCGUCACUGUUUGCUACCAACCAAUUUAGGUAGGCUUAUGUAAAAACUUUGUGGAAAAACUUUCAUUCACAACUAAUAAAGACUAGUUGCGUUCGUACAAUAAGAUCAUUUUGUUCGAUUUGGACCAAGUUUCUUAAAUUUAUUGUUACUAGACGCAUUUAUUUUUAUAUCUACUUCAUACAGUUUUAAUUCUGAUCCCUGUAUUUGUUGAUAUUUGAUAACGAACUAUACGCAUGUGUUUAUGUAAUCUACGCUUGUAAAAUCACUUUAAUAGAUGUUGAGUAUGAAUAAGAAUAUAUAUAUAGUUAUUUAGAAAUAAUACUACUUAUAUAAUAAUAAUAAUAAACGAUCCAUUGAGUAUCGUGCCUAAAGUAAAUUGAUGGAUGCAGGUUCAUUUUUUUUUUUUUGUAAAAGCAAGGUUUAGUCGUGGGUAUUUAUCUAAGAUUAUUGUAUAAUAACAGCAGUAGGAAUAAAUGUAGACUAAUUCCUAAUUUAAAAUAUUUACUUGAAAGCUGAAAAAGUGCUUCACAAUGCUUAAAUCAAUUUUUAAUCUUGUGUGUAAAAUAAUAUCGUUACUUUUACUAAUUACAAUGUGUAUGUAUAAAAAACUAUUUUGGACUUAGAUAAUCUGUAACUCGAAUAGAUAUAUACUUAGUUUGAAAACAAAAUCACUGUCGUUCUAUUAAUUCAAAAGAUUAUUCUAACCGUGAAACUAAACAUUGUCAUAAAAAACGACAAAAAAUCCUAUACGAACUUAAUAACUGGACGUUGCGUGUUCGUAUAGUUUCAAAAUUUUUUGUCGUUUUUCGACUCAAGUUUUUUUAGAAAUAUUAUUUAGUUCCCUUAAUAGACUAUUACUUUAAAAUGUUGCUAAUAAUUCCGAUUACAGCCUAUUGUAUUGUCUAUAUGAGAAACUAAUUUUUCUUUUAGUUAUUAUAGUUUUAGUUAGUCCAUAAUAAAUAAUAACUUAUUAUUUCUUAUAUUAUAAUAACGAGUAUAAUGCGGUUUUAGUUUUUCAAACUAUUUUCCUAACACCCUGCUAAAGCACCUACAACCUACACCUAAUGUUUGUCUACUAACACAUUUAACCUAGGUACUUUUAACUGUAAAACCUAUGUUCUUUUUGCUAACUGCAGUCCAUUAAAUUAAAUAUAAAUUAAUUAGGUAAAUUAAAACUAAGCAUUUUUGUUGCAAUGUUGGGUUUGUCGACUAAAUCAAAACUUUUCGUAAUAUAACAAGAUUUAUUGUAUGUUUAUAAUAAUUUUGUUUGUAAACCUAUCUUGUAAGUAGUUAUUAAUCAAUUUACCUAUUUAAAAUAUUUGUGACCUCUAUUUGAAACGAAAAUGUGUAUUCAAGUUGUUCAUUAUUAAAUAAAUAAUGCAUAUUUCGUGUCUAUCUAUAAUGAUUAGAAAAUAUUCAAUAUUAAUUUUUUAGAGCAGCAUAACUAACAGCAAGAGCAUAACUAACGCAGUAAAAAAUAUAAUAGUACUGUUUGUGUAGAAUUAGACUAUGAUUCAAUAUUGCAAAGAAUUAUAUAACGCUGUUUAAAUAAAGUACCCACAAACCAUAUUGGACAAAUAUAUUUCACUAAAACAACCAUAUUUAAAAAUCCUCAAGGAAUAUUAACCUAUUCAAACUUCAAAAUAACUUAUUUCACGUAUUAAGCUUUCUACUUGGCACUUGUUUUAUACAUUAACGUUCUCAUCCCUUUCUAUUUAUAAUAUAUAAAAAUAUAUAUAAAAAGCAGCAGGUGAUAAGAAGUGUUAACACAAAAAAGCUGUGAAGUUGUAAUUUUUGUUAGCUAUAUUCUUUUUAAACUUCAUAAUUGUAUUGAAUUUGAAACCUAUACCUACAUUGUGGCUGCUCGUACAACAAUGGUAUAAUUUUGAUUUGGUUGGAUAUCUCCUUUCUACUGAAUAAUGCAAAUAUACCAUACGGUAAUGUCUAUGUUAAAAUUAAAUGUAAUUUGUUAAUUAAAAAUAAUCAAAAUUGGGCAUCCUUGGCCAGUAUGUUUAUCUAUGGAUAAAGCAAAGCAUCGAUUAUCUGCUAGAUUUAAAAAAUAUUUACAUAGUCAGGUCUUUUAAACAAGUGAGGAAAAAAUCAAUGGAUUGUACCAAUUUUACUUCUCUCUUGCGAUAAUAAAAACAUGUCUACUAAUACAUUCGAUCUCAACACAUCUAAAGGAUUCUAUUCUCACAGAUAACUAUAUUCUAUUAUAACCUUGGACCAGGAAUAUUUAGAUAUAUAAUCAAAAAAAUAUUUCUGUCGUACUGAUGAUCUGGGGUAUAACUAAAACACUUGAAAACAGUAAAAAUCAUUUCAUAUCUGCAGAGAGUUGCACUUAAUCUAUAAAUAUAAAUAAAUGAAAUAAAAUCUUAUUGGCAAAGGUAAACAAUAAUAUUACAAAAAGUCAUCAGUUAUCAUUAAAUCAUUACAUUAUCAGGAUUUAUUUGUUUUCUAUUUCUAGUUUUAAUAUUUACCUCACUUUUUGAAACACAGCUGUAAAGUAGAAAUAUCUAUUUUAUGUACUUAACACGAAUACAUAAGAAAUAAGUAAAUAAUAGUCUUGGAUAAGAGCAUUUUCGAAAACAUAUAUAACCAUAAUUUCUUACGAUAUAAAGACUAUUUAAUUAAAAUUUAUAAAAUGACUAUUAUUAAAUUUUAUUGAACCUAAAUACGCAUCGUGAUACUGAAAAUCGUGUUUCAAAAACUGAGGUUACAUUAACAUUCACUGUAAGGUAAAUAAAAACACACCAGAAAAGUAUGUUAUUUAAUUAAUUAGGUAUAGUCUAUAAUAAUGCAUAAACAUCACUGCCGCAAAGUCCAAAAUAAAUUAAUUAUUUAGAAAAAAAAAACAACUUUUUUUGUAAUUUUGGACUUCACGGAUGUGAUUGGCCCUGUUAAUUAUUACGAUAUUAAUAUAUUCUACGUUAUUAUUUUUUUCAUACCUAUUCAUAGCAGUUUCGAACAAUAUACAAUCUAGGGGAUAAAUUUUUGAAAAUAUUUGCCAUAACUAUAGAUAUAAUAAAAAUAAACUAAUUUUGGUAGUAAUUUUUAAUUAUUAAAAAUAUAUAUAUAAUAUAUAUAUUUCACAUUGUGAGAUUUACUUAUUCUUUUGAUUUAAAUAAUGAGUUAUUGUAUAUAAUACUCUAAGAUAACAUCCUAAUCCUUAGAUAUGGCAACUCGUGAGGGAUACUAUGAAUGUCACAAUAUACUUGUAUGAUAUUCACUUUACAUUCAAGAAGCCAUUUACUUGUUUGAAAGUCCAAAUUGUAUAAAAAUAAAUAUAAUAUCGUAAUAAUUAGUGACAAAUUUUAAAACCAUUUGAUUAAAAUAGUCUCUCACUGUCCCUAUGGCUGUUUGGACAACGAAAUGUUAUUUACUCGAUUAUUAUAAAAAUCAAGUCAAAAAGCAGGCAAAGGGAUCGUGAAUAAAGCUAAAACGAACUUGUAUGUAUUUAUGUAUUAUCGAAUGGUUUUAAACUAAUUUAGAUGUUAAAAUUAGAAUUCAAUAGCGUAGAUUAUAGCACUCGUUCUCUUAGUUUAGUUAAUCACAUUUAUUCCAUUUAUUCGUAUAUUUUGAGGGUGCGAGAAUGAACUAUGGGAGUACUUACAUUAAUUAGGAGAGCUUAGUAAAAAUAUCACAAUCAAAUGUUAAUGAAUAAUGGUUCAUAGAAGAUAUUCACAUAAUUAUUGUUACAAAAAUUUUAAAACUUUUUUUUUGUUUUUUAAUAAAUAAAGUGUCAUAUCCAGUGUGUACUAAAUAAAUUAAAAGGCGUAGGUACUUAAUCAAUUUCAAAUACAUAGUUAUAACGGUGUCUAACUCCAUUUUAGAAUUGAUUCGAUAAUAUUCAAUGUAACGUACCCAAAUCAUGAAAUAAAGUUGUAAACGUACCUACUAAUGUGUAAGGAUACGAUUACUUAUAUUAUGUACCAAGGUGUAAUUAUUGCUUCACUAAAAUAAAAGCAAGUUUAAUAAA
rnacentral:misc_RNA from 1 species